AGUUUUAAUAGUUUAAUUAAAAACAAUGAUUUUGUAAUUCAUAAAUAGGAUAUACCUUUAAAACUU
rnacentral:tRNA from 1 species